AAAACUUGUGGUUACUUUAAAUAGUUCCCUUAUUCUCAUAAAAUCAUAAUCAUUCCCAUUUUCAGUUCAAAUUAAGUGGAAAAUGUCAAGUCUCAUUUUCAUUGAAAUUUCCUACUUUAAUGUGAAUGUGACCAAAACCGGCUUCGAGCAUAGAUAACUGCUUCAACUAGAAAACCUUUCAAGGACAAUAGCUACGUCUUUACUGUAGGCAGAGGCUACAGCAUUGCCGUUAUUCAGUUAUCAGCAUAUGUAGAAGUAAUGAAUAUAUAGGAGAAAAGUUCCUGGCUCAAAUUGAGUUCUGGAAAGCAUGAUUUUACUCUGCCUUUUGGCUGAUAACAUCCAACUUUUGUUUUUGCUUGCCUGUUAUUUUGAUCUUACCCAAUAAAUUCCCAGAUUAGAAUUGUACUGAGCAAUUUACUGAGAAAACUUUCAAAACCACUUACUCUGACCUUGCCAGUUUACAUGCAUAAAAACUGUAGCAAUUAAUGUAAAAUUUAAAUUUUUAUAUCCUCCCUUAUUGUUCUCCCCCGCCCCCAGUACUCUUAGUGGUGCUAGUUAUUUUUCACUUGUCUCAGAAGUUUGUCUCCAAUUCUUGCAGACCAGUGUGAAAUAACUGUAUGAGCUGACGCUGUACAGCUGAUGUAACAAUCAGAAUGACCAUUUCAGUCUGAGUUUAAGGGAAGACGUACAUGCCCAUGUACACCUACAGAAUAUAUCCUUUCCACUAUACGCCUAACAUACAUGGAAUAUUACCUGUGAUUGUACCCUGGAAAACAAGUGAGAAGCUUUGUAUUCAUUCUGAGGUGAUUUCUAUGUACCGAGAAAGCUUACAGAGAGGAAAAGCUACAGAAAAGCUUCUUGGUUUGAUGGAUGGCCAGCACAUAAAAAAAAGGAGAUAGCACCUGAAUAAAGAACCAGGCACCAGGACUACUCUCAAGGGAAAAGCUUUUUACCAAGCCCAGGCACAGCAUUUCCAAGUAUCAAGAGUUAACAUGCAAACUGAGUAACACUAAAGACACCAAGCUCCUGCUUUUCCUCAAGAACCUUGGCUCAGCAUGUGCCUACAACAGAAGACUCCCACACACUACACAGUUAAUCACCAGUCCAGUUCAUUAUGUCCACAUCCAAACCCAACUGCGACACUGUGAUAGAGAGGCUAACAGAUACGUGGUCUGAUUGUUAGACUGCAAUUGACAAAUCUGAUAAAGCACCGAACCUGACCUUACGCUUCUUUGUUUGCUUUUUAAUAACCUCCAUCUACCAGCAGAGACUCUAAUGCUCUGUGUAGUCAAUUGUUCCUUGCAAUUAACUGUGCUUUGUAAUAUCAAAAGAAAAUAAACCCACCUUUGGAGAGGGAGAAUAGAUUGAAACGAUGUUGGCAAAUAAAGCUAAAAUCACC
rnacentral:lncRNA from 7 species